CCAGCAUUCUAAAUAAUUGUAACCUUUUUCAAAUGAAGGAUAGCCCAAUAGAGCAGUUAGUAAAUGGGCCAGCCCGUUUGGAUAACAGGUUGAGAAGUUGAACGGUCCCAAUGUUGCAUGCAUCAAGCAGAAGCAAGAGAUGAUGAGAUAGAAUAGAAGAGAGUUGAGUUUGAGUGAACAAGCCUUCCCCUCGUGUCCCUCCAACAACAAGAUUUCUGCAUCAUCAUUGACUCCCAGAGCAUCGCUCCUCAGCUCUUCGCCUUUUCCUUGUUUCCCUACAUGGGAUUCUUGUACUUCAUUACCAAGUCCAAGACUGCUCCAAACCUCACCAUCUUCGGCUUCUCCUUUUGGUUGCCUUUGUUGGAGCCACUAGUCACUCUCUCUAUCUCUUUGCUCCAUUUAUUUUUAUCACUUGCUUUAACUUAUAAACGUUGCUGAUUUUCUGUGUUUUGAACCUUGUACAAUUAAACAGUACCAGCUGGAAUUUAUGCGAAGGUGCAUUAUGGGACUUCUUUGUCCAACGUGGUGGGGCUGAGUCACUCCUCACUCUCACUAACUUGUUCAUUGUCUUGGGUCUCAGAGAGGCUCUCAGAAAAGCUCAAAAUUCACAAGAUCAAAAUGCUUCCACUCCUAACUCAGUCUUGGACGAGUAGAACAACAACAACAAGAAUCCUAGGAUGCAGAUUUCAUGUUACAAGCCAUUCUAUUGUCACUUUGUCACUAUCAUUAUAUAUUUGUAUCAUUUCAGGCUCUGGGGCUGCUGUAAAUAAAUAUGGAUAUUUGUGUAACUAAGUCAUCAAUUGGAAUGAAAUUACAGAGUUUUGGCCAGCGUA